GAUGAACGCUGGCGGCGUGCCUAAUACAUGCAAGUCGAGCGAACGGACGAGAAGCUUGCUUCUCUGAUGUUAGCGGCGGACGGGUGAGUAACACGUGGAUAACCUACCUAUAAGACUGGGAUAACUUCGGGAAACCGGAGCUAAUACCGGAUGAUAUUUUGAACCGCAUGGUUCAAAAGUGAAAGACGGUCUUGCUGUCACUUAUAGAUGGAUCCGCGCUGCAUUAGCUAGUUGGUAAGGUAACGGCUUACCAAGGCAACGAUGCAUAGCCGACCUGAGAGGGUGAUCGGCCACACUGGAACUGAGACACGGUCCAGAAUCCUACGGGAGGCAGCAGUAGGGAAUCUUCCGCAGUGGGCGAAGUCCUGACGGAGCAACGCCGCGUGAGUGAUGAAGGUCUUCGGAUCGUAAAACUCUGUUAUUAGGGAAGAACAUAUGUGUAAGUAACUGUGCACAUCUUGACGGUACCUAAUCAGAAAGCCACGGCUAACUACGUG
rnacentral:rRNA from 1 species